rnacentral:rRNA from 1 species
GCAGAGGAUGUUUAUGGUGCGGUACCUUCCGAGUUCCCUGGAACGGGACGCCACAGAGGGUGAGAGCCCCGUCUGGUUGGAUACCAAACCUGUGUUAAACUCCUUCAACGAGUCGAGUAGUUUGGGAAUGCUGCUCUAAAUGGGAGGUAAAUCUCUUCUAAAGCUAAAUACCGGCCAGAGACCGAUAGCGCACAAGUAGAGUGAUCGAAAGAUGAAAAGCACCUUGAAAAGGGGGUUAAACAGUACGUGAAAUUGUUGAAAGGGAAGCGUUUAUGACCAGACUUGUGUCGUGUGGCUCAUCCGAGGUUCUCCCCGGUGCACUCCACACGGCUCAGGCCAACAUCGGUUCUCGUUGGGGGAUAAGAACAGUAGGAACGUGGCCCCUCUCGGGGGGUGUUAUAGCCUAUUGUACGAUACUCUGACGGGGACCGAGGACCGCGCUUCGGCUAGGAUGUUGGCGUAAUGGUCAUUAGCGACCCGUCUUGAAACACGGACCAAGGAGUCGUCCAUUAGAGCGAGCGUUUGGGUGUAAAACCCGCACGCGUAAUGAAAGUGAAAUUAGGUGAGAGCUUCGGCGCAUCAUCGACCGAUCCUGAAGUUUACGGAUGGAUUUGAGUAAGAGUUUUAACGGACGGACCCGAAAGACAGUGAACUAUGCUUGAAUAGGGUGAAGCCAGAGGAAACUCUGGUGGAGGCUCGCAGCGGUUCUGACGUGCAAAUCGAUCGUCAAAUUUGAGCA